GUCAGUGGCUGUCCCCUUCCUCUAGCCUUGGCCUCCUCAGCAGUGGAGCGCAGCUCUGCACUCAGCUAAGCCAUCACCAGGCAAGUAGGGCAGCCCAGUAGCCUUACCUCUCCUCCACCCCCUUCCCUUCUCUGAUGAUUCUACUUCUAGAUGUAUUGCAAGAGGAAUCUGCACACCUAAAAGACAUGUGCAAGAAUGUUCAUAACAGCUGUAGUCAUAACUCCAAACUACAGACCACUCAAAUGUCUAUCAGCGAGAGAAUGGAUAAGUAAAUUGGAGUGUGUUCCUUCAAUAAAAUGCUACACAGCAAUAGAGAUCAGACUUUUGCUAAAUGCAUCAAUAUAGUUGACUUACCGACAUAAUCAUGGGCCAAAGCAGCAGACACACACAAAAAAGAUCACCAGGUGAAUGGGGGAAAUCUGGCUCAAUUGUUGGAUUAGGAUCAUGAUAGAGUGAGAGUGGAACUCCCAUACAAGAAGAUAGACGCUCUCAUGGCAAGCACACAGCUGGUUUCACAGGCAAGUGUCAUCCUAUGCAUUAUUUAUCCUUCCAGCCCAAACACUGCCUUUCCUGAGCAGAGCAGAAAAUCAGUUUAGC